rnacentral:rRNA from 1 species
UACGGGGGGGGGCAAGCGUUGUUCGGAAUUACUGGGCGUAAAGGGCUCGUAGGUGGCCAACUAAGUCAAACGUGAAAUCCCUCGGCUUAACCGGGGAACUGCGUCUGAUACUGGAUGGCUUGAGUAUGGGAGAGGGAUGCGGAAUUCCAGGUGUAGCGGUGAGAUGCGUAGAUAUCUGGAGGAACACCGGUGGCGAAGGCGGCAUCCUGGACCAUUACUGACGCUGAGGAGCGAAAGCCAGGGGAGCAAGCAGGG